rnacentral:rRNA from 1 species
GACGAACGCUGGCGGCGUGCCUAAUACAUGCAAGUCGAACGAGAGCGACCGGUGCUUGCACUGGUCAAUCUAGUGGCGAACGGGUGAGUAACGCGUGGGUAACCUGCCCAUCAGAGGGGGAUAACAUCCGGAAACGGAUGCUAAAACCGCAUAGGUCUUCGAGCCGCAUGGCUUGAAGAGGAAAAGAGGCGCAAGCUUCUGCUGAUGGAUGGACCCGCGGUGCAUUAGCUAGUUGGUGAGGUAACGGCUCACCAAGGCCGUGAUGCAUAGCCGACCUGAGAGGGUGAUCGGCCACAUUGGGACUGAGACACGGCCCAAACUCCUACGGGAGGCAGCAGUAGGGAAUCUUCCGCAAUGGACGCAAGUCUGACGGAGCAACGCCGCGUGAGUGAAGAAGGUUUUCGGAUCGUAAAACUCUGUUGUUAGAGAAGAACAAGUGCUAGAGUAACUGUUAGCGCCUUGACGGUAUCUAACCAGAAAGCCACGGCUAACUACGUG